UCUUCCUCAUUUUGAACCCUAGAACAUACAAUUUUCGGCGCCUUCCACACAGUGAAAAGGUUUUUUUUUGGUCCCUUUUCCCCGUUGCUUUGUUCAUCCAUCACAUGAACCUUGUUAUAAUCCUUCAUAUUCUCCAUUUGCUACAGUGCUCUCCAUCCGUUGGUUCGCCUGCUGUGAACAGAAAUUAAGGAGAUGAACAAAAGCGAAGGCGCUACACAAGGGACGAAAAAGAAAAGGGUGUUAAGGAGCAUGAUGUCGUUGUAGAGCCAACAAAAUAUGUUUCAUUCUUUGAGCGAAUUAGGAAGGAGGUCGAGGAAGACAACAUUGCAAAUAAUGUGAAUAUACCUAUGAAGGAAAAUCCCAAAAAUCCAAAGGAUGUCAAGUGCAAACGCAGAGGUCGUUGGUCAGCUAAGCCGAGAGGACCGGAUAAUGCGUCGGAUGACAAAUUCCCAAAGCUGCAUACGCGAACAACCCCAUCUGCAUUGUUCGACAGUUUGAGAAUGAUGAAUGAUGUUAAGAAAUUUGUUGUUAAGAAGAUUGGAUUUUUAUCAAACGGUAUCUAGGUUGCAAUGUAAAGGUUAUUUCAGCCUACGUUGUUUCCACGUUGAAUAUUGGUGAAUAACUGAACACAUAAUACAUUUAUGAUUUCUCCACAACCUUUUUAAUAGUUAAAAUUGAAAUAGAUGAUACAAUUUGUGGUGGAAAAAGCAAUGAUGUAUGCCACAAUGAGCAUUAUGGAUUAAUAUUGAUAUUGAAUAUUUGAA